CACUGACCGGGCCCGGCGCUGACUGGGCCGGCGCCGGCGGAGCAGCGGAGGCGGGCGGUGCCGCGGGGAAAGGGCCCCGCCGGGAACCGCUGCCGCGGCCUCAGGGCCGGGCCGCAGCCGCCCGCCCGCGCCCCGGGAGCUGCGGGGUCGGGCAGCCCCGCGCCGAGCCAGGGCAUUAAAAGCCUGCUGAGCCCUCGGGAGCUGGGGGUGACUCGGGGCCAGCAGGAGGGGGUCUGUAUACCGCAUCCAUAGAGGCGUGACCGCAAGCAGCGAGAACGCUGCCUGAAUUUAAGCAAUUUUGAAGCAGACCAUACUUGUCAGCUCCAAGGUUGCUAAACUACUACUAUGCUACACAAGACAAGGUCUCGCCUCAGGUGAGGAUACGGAUGCUGCCGGGAGCAUCCAGCGUGGAGUUGCGGGGCACCACUUGCUGUGCCUGGGGCUGCGCAGCAGGCAGGAGAGAUGUUAGCUCCCUGUCCACGUCGCCACAAGGAGAGACCUGGGCUCCCCACUUCCACAUCCAUCUAGUUUACCUGUCAGCCUAAGUGGGAGCUCUUUCCAGCUGUGCUGCUCCUGGCCGCUGUGUCUCUCCGGCUCCAGGUGCCGCUUACCUGUACCCAGCUCUGGCAUCUGGGCCAAAGUGCUGAGCAAGCCGCAAACUGCCCUGGCAUCGAACUGUGAUUGUGUAAACUUGAGGCCGGCAUAAAAUGGCACUGUCACACACAGCCGUGCCCAUCGGCUUCGCCAGCAGCCAGAUCAAGAGAAAUAAAUGGUUUCAAUGAAGAUUACUUAGUGCUUUGCAUAUUCAAAACAUUAUGCAAAUAUGAGCUUAUCUGUCCAUGUCCUUGUUGAGACAUAUACAUAAGAUGACUCAAUUUUAAGUAUUUGUACAAUGGCUGAAAUAUGUAUCUGGAAAUACAUCGUCACCAUCUUUAUUAAAGCUGUUUUUCAACCCAACUGUCAACACAAAUGCUCCAAAAUUGGCCUAGUUCAUUAAAAAAUAUGAUUGAAUAUGUAGGAAAUUUCAAUUAAUUAUUUAUGUGGAGAAAACAAACGCUUUUCACGCUGAACAGAUAGUUUCAACUUUGUAUUGUUCAGAGACCCGAGAAUAUGAAAUAGUCUAAUCCCAGGCACUGCUAUCUUUAUGCAAUAAAAGGAUACAUUCCCUUUUACAACACUCUGCAACAAGCAGGCUUGCCUCUUAUUUUUCCUCUUGGGUUCACAAAGAAUUUUUCCAGUAGGAUUCAGCUCUGCAGUUGUGUCUGGAAAACCUCAGUACACAUCUGUGUGAGCGCAGCAGCUCUCACCAGGUCCCGCUCCAAGGGCUUGUCCUCUUUCGGAGCGAAGCGAUGCCCAGGCACGUCCCAGCUCGGUCGGAAGCAGAGGAAGGCGACGGCGGCUGGAAGCUCGUGGUUUUCCAGGUGACAUAUUGCCACCUAGCAGCGCUUCGUGGAAGUAGCACAAGCCGGACCGGCAGAUCCAUCAACCAGUUCGCAUCAUUUUUGGUUUUAUUGCCUUGCGUCAUAUAGGGCAUGAGGAAAAGACUAGGAUGCAGUCAGCGUGAAGAAUGAGGACUGUAGGAAAAUGAACAGGUGGAUGGGAUCAUCUUUAAAAACAGACAUUAAAGACUAGACAGGCUGUAACUUUCAACAGGGUCAUGACUAGUCCCCUGGAUGUUUGACCAUACAAUAAGAGAGAAAAAGAAAGAGAAAAAAAUGUACAAUCCUGCAAAGUCACUUAUUCUCAUUCUUGCAAAUAAUUCCACUGAUUUCAAUAACACAUUCUCCUUGCGUUGCCGAAGCAGUACUGACCAAGGAGAGUCAGGUUACCACUUGAGUUAUACAGAAUGUGCCCAUUCCCUGUUGCUGACCCAGAAGCUGGCAACAAUGUACUGCCUAAAAGAGCAGUUCUUCACUCUUGGUUUCAAGGCUGCCAGACUGAAAUAUUGAAUUCCAAUAGAUACAGAGCUCCCGGAUGCUAUUUUUAUGAACUCCUUUUAGAGCAAUGGAACAGAUAGAUGACAGAUCUGGGCUUAGAUCUCAGGAAUUAUUGGAUACUAACCAACACAUUAACCCACAGUCAGUUCAUAAAGGGUCCCUUGUCUGUAAUUUUUUAGAGGCAAAUAUCAUCAGCUCUGUGUGGAAGUGUGGCAGGCUAAAGGAUGGUAUAACAUAUACUCCAAAGACUAGACCCACAUAAAAAGGUGGACACAUGCAUUCUAUUCCUAAAUUUCUGAAAUAUUUCUAAAAUUUAGUUUUAUUGAUCCAAAAUCAUGAUAUUCAGUUUCUCCUUACAGCCUCACUCUAGAGGCUUCCAAAUCCCAUUGGUGCCUGGCAGCUGUGAUUCAUGGGAAGAGACAAUUUAUAUCAGGUUAGCUAACAAGACUACCACCCCAGCUGUCUCUCCUGUCCUCACUGCACAUACCUGAAAUACUCCAGAGCUGCUGCAGCUUUCUAAAUGCAGCCCCAUGUGCCAAGUUACAUUUGGUUUGAUUUUGUUAGGCAGGGGCUGGCUGGGGACAGGGCAGUUACCGUGAGUACCUCAGUACUAGUAUGUCAGCCCAUCCUCCACUUCAUGCACCAAAGUUGCCAGUGUGUUAUUUCUCACUCUGGAUGUGUCUGUAAAGGGCUCAGCUCUUCCCAGGUAGCUGUGCACCCAUCCUAUCACAAUGUGUUGAUUUUAUCUUCUCUGUCCAUGUUGUUUAGGGAUCUCCUUCUGCAGAGUUGACUCUGAGCUCCAGCAAGGCAUGGCUGGAAGAUGAGGUAAAGAAACACCUGCCUCUGUAGCACAGCAUGGGAAGUGUCACCCAGGCCCUCUUCUGUCAAAACAAACCAUCUCAUUUCUCUGGGGAAGGUGCUCUGAUCAGGAGCUGUGGUGUAUUCUUGGGAAGUUGAGGGAAAAGAGCCCUGCCCCCCUUGCCAAAAGCUGUUUCUCUUGACAUAGCAUAAUGAAAUAUUCAUCAGGCCAGAAAAAGGGAGAGAGGUUCAGCAUGGCCACAGCUUGGUGCUUGCUCACACUCUCAGUGACCCAGCAAAUACUGGGUAUUUAAACAUUAAUAGCUACUUGAGUUAGUGUAUAAGUCUAUGCCCUUGGAAGUCUUUUCCACCCUAGCCUGUUCCAUGUUUCCAUGCCAUAUAAAGCAACUUGAAUAGGUAGGGUAAAGUAUGUUCUUGCUUUACAAAGUCUUCUCUCUGGUUACAGCUCACUGUGGGAAGAGUGGCCUCAGACCAACCAAAAGGGCCAUCAGGUCCCUGCCACGUGCUCUUACCUUUCACUUCACCAACACUGACAUUUGAUUAGACACUAAUUUUCUGAUGGAAAAUACAUACAGUACAAAAACAUGCUUGUGUGUGGUGUACCGUCCUACGCAAGAUAAGAUCUGAUUUCGCAAUACAAAAUUCCAGCCCACUUCCACUGGGGGGUGGUGGUCCCACAUUUCUCCCUUCUCCAUCCUGGGAGUGAGAACCAAGGGUGAGCCAGCUGAACCCACUAAACUGUCAGGAAACUGCUUUAGCACAGCAACAAGUUUCUCUUUUGAUCCCAGGGCUAAGGAGUUGAGCCAGCUUGGCUUGCUUCUGGUGGAGCCUGAGGGACACAAAGCAGGGGAAAGAAGAUGAAGAAAACUAGAGGAGGAAGACCAUCCUGUUUUAGCAGCAUUUAGUUAUCAAAUGGGCUCAAUUGUAUUAUUAGUUCUGACUCUCCCAAUGGCACUCAGGGCUUUGCCAGUUUGGGGAGAGGAAGUGGGUUAGAAAUGCAUGGCCCAGGGCAAAGCUGAGUGGGUUCCCUCUUUUGGGGGGGAAACCAGCCACUGGGAUGGCUAGGAUUGUACUGGAAAACUCCACCCUAAAUCUCUUUGAAGAUCUGGCUUUCUUUCCUUCAUUUCCUUAGGUCUCUGUUGCUAUUCCAUUCUAGAAAACUUUCAGAGAAAAAAAUAGCAUCUUUUUCUCCAAGAGCAUUUGAAUCACACCAAAGUAGGCCAGGUGAUAAUUGCACACCACAUUGUGGUGCUGCUUAAAUGUCAGAUGUUAAUUAAAGCCUUUCCUGGAAAUGGGACAUUAAUUAGGGCAAAUGCAGCCAUUCUUUAUGGGUACUGACUAACCAGUGAGUAAAAGCAUUAUUUAAACACUGGUAUUGAAACAGUUCAUUUUUAUUUGUCUGAGGUGUGUUUGUUAUUGAAAGAAAAACAACUGAAAAGAAUUAUAACUCCUUGAAUUUAUUGUUCUUUCUUUUAAAGACAGUUUUAAAUAAAUAUUUUGGCACACGAAUAUUCACGCACACACAGAUUGCAAUAGGAACAUUUCAGUAUUAGGUCCAGAUGUCUCUAGCAGUUGUAUAACCUUGGUAGGAAUGCUUAAAUGCUGUAGACAUUAAAUACAGCUCUGACCUGCAAAAACAGCCUGUUGUGGCACUUCACUUGUGUCUUUCUGUUCUUAAGAAUAUGGCACCAUCUACAUGAAUAAUGGUACAACAAAAUGUUUGCUAAGUCAGGGCCAAAAAGUAAGGCAUGUGUUUCCUUUGAAACUUUUCUGAGCAACUGUGAAUUGGGGAGAAUCAUAAUAUUGAUAAAGGAUAUAAGUGUUCAAGAUUUAAGAUAUAUAUCCAAGCUUUGCAGCUUAACCAUCUUGCUUUUUGUCUCUUUGGCCUGGAUUCAGCAAAGCAAUUAAGCCCCUAAAUAGCACCAUUGAUUUCAGUGACACAUAAGCAGUUGGUUGAAUCAGGCCCACUCUGCCUGCCAAACCACAUUCCUUCUUGCCUCCCAGUGCAUUAGAGCUUUUGGAAGAGCAGUUCCAGUUAUUAUCAAUAGCUGUAACAUAAAAUCCUCGUCUACACUGGCACUUUUGUGCCUAGAUACCUCUGCAGGAGGUCCAUGUAUGAGAAACUGUGCAAAGAUCUGGCAGUAGAUUUCAGUCUUUAGCAUUUCUGUGUUUCCACCAAGCACAUGGCUGAGCACACUGCUGCAGGCACCAUCCAUUCCAACACCUUCAUCCUCACAGCA